UACGAAGGGGGCUAGCGUUGCUCGGAAUCACUGGGCGUAAAGGGUGCGUAGGCGGGUCUUAAGUCAGGGGUGAAAUCCUGGAGCUCAACUCCAGAACUGCCUUUGAUACUGAAGAUCUUGAGUUCGGGAGAGGUGAGUGGAACUGCGAGUGUAGAGGUGAAAUUCGUAGAUAUUCGCAAGAACACCAGUGGCGAAGGCGGCUCACUGGCCCGAUACUGACGCUGAGGCACGAAAGCGUGGGGAGCAAACAGGA
rnacentral:rRNA from 1 species